GAUGAACGCUGGCGGCGUGCUUAACACAUGCAAGUCGAACGGUGAACACGGAGCUUGCUCUGUGGGAUCAGUGGCGAACGGGUGAGUAACACGUGAGCAACCUGCCCCUGACUCUGGGAUAAGCGCUGGAAACGGCGUCUAAUACUGGAUAUGUGACGUGACCGCAUGGUCUGCGUUUGGAAAGAUUUUUCGGUUGGGGAUGGGCUCGCGGCCUAUCAGCUUGUUGGUGAGGUAUUGGCUCACCAAGGCGUCGACGGGUGGCCGGCCUGAGAGGAUGACCGGCCACACUGGGACUGAGAUGCGGCACAGACUCCUACGGGAGGCAGCGGUGGGGAAUAGUGCACAAUGGGCGCAAGCCUGAUGCAGCAACGCCGCGUGAGGGAUGACGGCCUUCGGGUUGUAAACCUCUGUUAGCAGGGAAGAAGCGAAAGUGACGGUACCUGCAGAAAAAGCGCCGGCUAACUACGUG
rnacentral:rRNA from 1 species